rnacentral:hammerhead_ribozyme from 1 species
GUCCAGCCGACGAGUCCCAAACAGGACGAAAUGCGCAUCCCGGAU